ACAGAGGGUGCGAGCGUUAAUCGGAAUUACUGGGCGUAAAGCGUGCGCAGAUGGUCAUGUAAGUCGGGUGUGAAAGCCCGGGGCUCACCCCCGGAAGUGCAUUGGAAACUGGUGGACUCGAGUCCCGGAGAGGAGAGUGGAAUUCCUGGUGUAGCGGUGAAAUGCGUAGAUAUCAGGAGGAACACCGGUGGCGAAGGCGGCUCUCUGGACGGUGACUGACGCUGAGACGCGAAAGCGUGGGGAGCAAACAGGA
rnacentral:rRNA from 1 species